rnacentral:ncRNA from 1 species
ACCCCGCCUGUUUACCAAAAACAUCACCUCUAGCAUUACCAGUAUUAGAGGCACUGCCUGCCCAGUGACACUUGUUUAACGGCUGCGGUACCCUGACCAUGCAAACAAAGGUAGCAUAAUCACUUGUUCCUUAAAUAGGGACUUGUAUGAAUGGCACCACAAGGGU